ACAGAACUACAAGAGGAGAAAAACGUGCAUUGGAGGAAAUAACUGAUAUUUGAAUUUUCAACUUUUUGACGAGUUCAAUAAAAAUGGAUAACGGCGGUAGACCGUACUUACCCCUUCUUUUCCGCCAUCUUUGUGUUCACAAGGAGUACCUGGUGCUGCGGAAAUUCUAUAUGGGCGACAUACCUCCAUAAUCGAUCCAUCUUCAUCUUCACUCAUCUGAUAUCCAACGGUACACCAAAUCUACACUUCGUCUACACUUCGAACGUAUUCGACUCCACCGGAUUUAGAAGAGUUCGGUCGGCCGUAGUAGACCGCCGUCGAGGGCGUGAAUAGUAUUCCAGGGUCCAAUCGAAAGUGCUGUAAAAUAGGAUCGUCGGCCACGGGCGCCUGCAGAUACAAUGAAGCAAGGGUGUCCAACGGCCAGAAAAAACAGAAUAAUACCCGCCGGGUACAUGUCGUUGGUCGAUGAUUGAAAAAAAAAUGGUGAAUAUCGAGGAAC